UGGAUGGCAGGAAUUUAGAAAUAAUUUCUUAGCAUUUCAAAAAAAAUUUUAUUUAAUUUAAAAAAAUUUAAAAACUUAAAAAUAAUUUUGGAUUCAUCCAGAAACUUAUAAAUAAUUUUUUUUUUAUAUGAAACCUGAUAUUGAGUGCUUUCCAUAUGGUAUCAUUGUUUGUCACUUGAGGAAGAAUUCAAUUCGAAGUGGUAUUAAGCAUGCGACAUACGGAGCAGAGAAAAUAUCGAUAGCGAUGAUCAAAUGACAGAGCACUCGUGACAGCUUAUGCACAAAUGCACUCCCACUUAUAGCUCAUAAACUUUUAUCACUCUCUAAAUAAGACUUUGGUUAAUAGGGCAUGAUUCUGUUAAAGAAUGGAUAAGUGUAUAUAAUAUUGAUUUCUAAAUAGAUGGAUAAUAUCAAAUUCAAAGAGCAGAUAGCAGAAAUAAGAAUUUUUAUUUCUAUAAUAAUAAUAAUUAAUGAAUUUGUAGGAGUGUUGCCACAAGACAAUAAUGUUAUCAAAAUUCUGAACCAAGAUUUGUCAUAUCGAAUCUGAUGGUAUGGUGCAUACCAUACCAUAUCAGUUCGCAUCAAGUAUAUGAUACAAAAAAUAUACUAAUAUUUGGUAUGCCAAAUCAAUAUCAUAUCUAUACAAUAAUAAAUUGGCACCGGUAU
rnacentral:lncRNA from 1 species